rnacentral:rRNA from 1 species
GCUAAAAAUUUAGCCCAACCCCGCCCCAUGCAAAUCUUUUUCUUAUUUUCCCCCAAUUAAAACAUUUUAUAAAUUUAGUAAAGGCGAUUAAAAAAUUACCCGGAGCUAUAAUUACAGUACCGCAAGGGAACAAUGAAAUAAAAAUGAAAUAACUUUUAAGCACAAAAAAGUAGAGCUUUACCCUCGUACCUUUUGCAUCAUGAUUUAACUAGUCUAAUUAAGCAGAAAGACUUUCAGUUUAACUUCCCGAACCUAGACGAGCUAUUUUAAGGCAGUUUUAUGAACAAACCCGUCUCUGUUGCAAAAGAGUGGGAAGACCUUACAAUAGCAGUGACAGACCAAACGAGUCUAGUGAUAGCUGGUUGCUCUCCAAAAGGAUUUUAGUCCUACUUAAAGUCUCACCCAUACCACAAAAUUUACUUUAAAGCCAUUCAAAUAAGGUACAGCCUAUUUGAAAUAGGAAACAACCUCACCUAUUGGGUCCCUAUCAAUGAAUCUGUGACAAAGUAGGCCUAAAAGCAGCCAUCUUUAACGAAAGCGUCAAAGCUCACUCACUCAUUCUUCUAAUUCCUUUCCCUUUUAAUAACCCAUUUUCCACAAAGAGCAAUUCUAUACUUAUAUAGAAGAUUUAAUGUUAGAACUAGUAAUAAGAAGCAAGCCCUUCUCUUUAAUGCAAACUUAAAUCAGUCAGGACCUUCCACUGAUCUUCAACGCUUAUAAACCCUCUGUAAUAACUCACCAGGAAAACAUUACUUUAUCCAGCGUUAACCUAACACAAGAGCAUUCCAAGAAAGAUUAAAAGAAAAAGAAGGAACUCGGCAAACAUCAGCCCCGCCUGUUUACCAAAAACAUCGCCUCUUGCCAAAUUAUAAGAGGUCCAGCCUGCCCAGUGACUCUGUUCAACGGCCGCGGUAUCCUAACCGUGCGAAGGUAGCGUAAUCACUUGUUCUUUAAAUGAGGACUAGUAUGAAUGGCCCCACGAGGGCUGCACUGUCUCCUUUUUCUAAUCAAUGAAACUAAUCUCCCCGUGAAGAAGCGGGGAUAACCAUAUAAGACGAGAAGACCCUAUGGAGCUUAAAACAACUGAAACAUUUGCUUUUACCUUAACUGCCCCCGAGCUCUUUAUUUUACCUAAGCAUUUUUAUUUCUAGUUUUAGGUUGGGGUGACCACGGAGCAAAACUAAACCUCCACGAAGAAAUGAACACUUUUUAAGCCACAAACUACUUUUUUAAGCAUCAACAAAUUGACCUUCAUUGACCCAAUAUAUUGAUCAACGAACCAAGUUACCCUAGGGAUAACAGCGCAAUCUACUUCAAGAGCUCAUAUCGACAAGUGGGUUUACGACCUCGAUGUUGGAUCAGGGUAUCCUAGUGGUGCAGCCGCUACUGACGGUUCGUUUGUUCAACGAUUAAAACCCUACGUGAUCUGAGUUCAGACCGGAGCAAUCCAGGUCAGUUUCUAUCUAUAAAGAGUUUUUUCUAGUACGAAAGGACCGAAAAAACAUGGCCCAUGCCUUAUACAAGCCAUUUAUUCAAACAUUAUGCCUCAGACUUAAUAAUAAUGAAUCUUUAAUCCCCCUCAAGAGACAGAGAUA